ACUGCUCAGUAACACGUGGACAACCUGCCCUUAGGACGGGGAUAAACCCGGGAAACUGGGUAUAAUACCCGAUAGGUCUCGAUUGCUGGAAUGCAUCGAGAUUUAAAGCUCCGGCGCCUAAGGAUGGGUCUGCGGCCUAUCAGGUAGUAGUGGGUGUAGCGUACCUACUAGCCUACGACGGGUACGGGUUGUGAGAGCAAGAGCUCGGAGAUGGAUUCUGAGACACGAAUCCAGGCCCUACGGGGUGCAGCAGGCGCGAAAACUUUACAAUGCUGGCAACAGCGAUAAGGGAACCUCGAGUGCCAGGUUACAAAUCUGGCUGUCGAGAUGCCUAAAAAGCAUUUCAUAGCAAGGGCCGGGCAAGACCGGUGCCAGCCGCCGCGGUAACACCGGCGGCUCGAGUGGUAACCGUUAUUAUUGGGUCUAAAGGGUCUGUAGCCGGCCGGAUAAGUCUCUUGAGAAAUCUGGCAGCUUAACUGUCAGGCUUUCAGGAGAUACUGUCUGGCUCGAGGCCGGGAGAGGUGAGAGGUACUUCAGGGGUAGGGGUGAAAUCUUGUAAUCCUUGAAGGACCACCAGUGGCGAAGGCGUCUCACCAGAACGGACCUGACGGCAAGGGACGAAAGCUAGGGGCACGAACCGGAUUAGAUACCCGGGUAGUCCUAGCCGUAAACGAUACUCGCUAGGUGUCGGCCACGGUGCGACCGUUGUCGGUGCCGUAGGGAAGCCGUGAAGCGAGCCACCUGGGAAGUACGGCCGCAAGGCUGAAACUUAAAGGAAUUGGCGGGGGAGCAC
rnacentral:rRNA from 1 species